rnacentral:rRNA from 1 species
UACGUAGGGUGCGAGCGUUAAUCGGAAUUACUGGGCGUAAAGCGUGCGCAGGCGGUUUUGUAAGACAGGCGUGAAAUCCCCGGCGUCACCUGGACGUGCGCUUGUGACUGCAAGGCGUAGAGUACGGCAGAGGGGGUGGGAAUUCCACGUGUAGCAGUGAAAUGCGUAGAGAUGUGGAGGAACACCAAUGGCGAAGGCAGCCCCU